CCUACGGGGGGCAGCAGUGGGGAAUAUUGCACAAUGGGCGAAAGCCUGAUGCAGCGACGCCGCGUGAGGGAUGACGGCCUUCGGGUUGUAAACCUCUUUCAGCAGGGAAGAAGCCACAAGUGACGGUACCUGCAGAAGAAGCGCCGGCUAACUACGUGCCAGCAGCCGCGGUAAUACGUAGGGCGCAAGCGUUGUCCGGAAUUAUUGGGCGUAAAGAGCUCGUAGGCGGUUUGUCGCGUCUGCUGUGAAAGCCCGGGGCUUAACCCCGGGUGUGCAGUGGGUACGGGCAGACUAGAGUGCAGUAGGGGAGACUGGAAUUCCUGGUGUAGCGGUGGAAUGCGCAGAUAUCAGGAGGAACACCGAUGGCGAAGGCAGGUCUCUGGGCUGUUACUGACGCUGAGGAGCGAAAGCAUGGGGAGCGAACAGGAUUAGAUACCCCCGUAGUC
rnacentral:rRNA from 1 species